rnacentral:tRNA from 1 species
GGUCCCGUAGUGUAGCGGUUAUCACGUCGCCCUGUCACGGCGCAGAUCGCGGGUUCGAUUCCCGUCGGGACCG